rnacentral:sRNA from 1 species
AUUUCUACUUGUUUAGGGUUAAUAAAAUGUACAUGGGUAUCAAUGGCUCCAGCGGUUACAAUUAAGCCUUCACCUGCGAUGAUUUCUGUGGAGGUACCGAUAAUAAUAUCGAUAUGAUCUGUAAUGAGAGGGUUUCCACUUUUACCUAUGCCAAAAAUUUUCCCAUCUCGAAUGGCGAGAUCUGCUUUGAUAAUGCCUGUAUAAUCUAAAAUAAUGACAUUGGUAAUGACGGUAUCUGCUACACCUUCUUUACGGGUCGCAAGAGGGUGCUGUCCCAUGCCGUCUCGAAU